rnacentral:rRNA from 1 species
UACGUAGGGGGCAAGCGUUGUCCGGAAUGACUGGGCGUAAAGGGAGUGUAGGCGGCUCAUCAAGUUAGAUGUGAAAUCCCGCGGCUUAACCGCGGAACUGCAUCUAAAACUGGUAAGCUGGAGUGCAGGAGAGGUGAGUGGAAUUCCUAGUGUAGCGGUGGAAUGCGUAGAUAUUAGGAGGAACACCAGAGGCGAAGGCGACUCACUGGACUGUAACUGACGCUGAGGCACGAAGGCCAGGGGAGCGAAAGGG